rnacentral:rRNA from 1 species
UAGGGAAUCUUCGGCAAUGGGGGGAACCCUGACCGAGCAACGCCGCGUGAGUGAAGAAGGUUUUCGGAUCGUAAAGCUCUGUUGUUAAGGAAGAACGAGUGUGAGAAUGGAAAGUUCAUGCUGUGACGGUACUUAACCAGAAAGGGACGGCUAACUACGUGCCAGCAGCCGCGGUAAUACGUAGGUGGCAAGCGUUAUCCGGAAUUAUUGGGCGUAAAGCGCGCGUAGGCGGUUUUUUAAGUCUGAUGUGAAAGCCCACGGCUCAACCGUGGAGGGUCAUUGGAAACUGGAAAACUUGAGUGCAGAAGAGGAAAGUGGAAUUCCAUGUGUAGCGGUGAAAUGCGCAGAGAUAGGGAGGAACACCAGUGGCGAAGGCGACUUUCUGGUCUGUAACUGACGCUGAUGUGCGAAAGCGUGGGGAUCAAACAGG